rnacentral:rRNA from 1 species
UACGGAGGGUGCAAGCGUUAUCCGGAUUCACUGGGUUUAAAGGGUGCGUAGGCGGGUGUGUAAGUCAGUGGUGAAAUCCCGAAGCUUAACUUCGGAACUGCCGUUGAUACUAUACAUCUUGAAUACCCGGGAGGUGAGCGGAAUAUGUCAUGUAGCGGUGAAAUGCUUAGAUAUGACAUAGAACACCAAUUGCGAAGGCAGCUCACUACAGGGUCAUUGACGCUGAGGCACGAAAGCGUGGGGAUCAAACAGG